CACGUAGGAGGCGAGCGUUGUCCGGAAUCGUUGGGCGUAAAGAGCGCGCAGGCGGCUUGGCAAGUCGGGUGUGAAAUCCCGGGGCUCAACCCCGGGACUGCAUUCGAUACUGUCAGGCUAGAGGUAGGUAGGGGAGAUCGGAAUUCCUGGUGUAGCGGUGAAAUGCGCAGAUAUCGUAAGGAAGACCAGUGGCGAAGGCGGGUCUCUGGACAGUUCCUGACGCUGAGGCACGAAGGCCAGGGGAGCAAACGGG
rnacentral:rRNA from 1 species